rnacentral:rRNA from 1 species
ACGGAAGGCAGCAGUAGGGAAUAUUGCACAAUGGGGGAAACCCUGAUGCAGCGACGCCGCGUGAGUGAAGAAGUAUUUCGGUAUGUAAAGCUCUAUCAGCAGGAAAGAAAAUGACGGUACCUGACUAAGAAGCCCCGGCUAACUACGUGCCAGCAGCCGCGGUAAUACGUAGGGGGCAAGCGUUAUCCGGAUUUACUGGGUGUAAAGGGAGCGUAGACGGCUUUGCAAGUCUGAAGUGAAAGCCCGGGGCUCAACCCCGGAACUGCUUUGGAAACUGUAGAGCUAGAGUGCAGGAGAGGUAAGUGGAAUUCCUAGUGUAGCGGUGAAAUGCGUAGAUAUUAGGAGGAACACCAGUGGCGAAGGCGGCUUACUGGACUGUAACUGACGUUGAGGCUCGAAGGCGUGGGGAGCAAACAGGAUUAGAUACCCUGGUA